GAUGAACGCUGGCGGCGUGCUUAACACAUGCAAGUCGAACGGUGAAGGCGGAGCUUGCUCUGCUGGAUCAGUGGCGAACGGGUGAGUAACACGUGAGCAAUCUGCCCCUGACUCUGGGAUAAGCGCUGGAAACGGCGUCUAAUACUGGAUACGAGCUGCGAAGGCAUCUUCAGCAGCUGGAAAGAACUUCGGUCAGGGAUGAGCUCGCGGCCUAUCAGCUUGUUGGUGAGGUAACGGCUCACCAAGGCGUCGACGGGUAGCCGGCCUGAGAGGGUGACCGGCCACACUGGGACUGAGACACGGCCCAGACUCCUACGGGAGGCAGCAGGGGGGAAUAUGGCACAAUGGGCGAAAGCCUGAUGCAGCAACGCCGCGUGAGGGACGACGGCCUUCGGGUUGUAAACCUCUUUUAGCAGGGAAGAAGCGAAAGUGACGGUACCUGCAGAAAAAGCGCCGGCGAACUACGU
rnacentral:rRNA from 1 species